rnacentral:misc_RNA from 1 species
CACACCCCAAGCUCGGCUUGAUGUUGGACGCUGUCUGUGAAAGGACAGGUCUGGAACGCGUGGGCGCCGCCGCCGGACCACGAGCGUAGCAAGACGCAAGUCGAUCGCUCUGUGGGCUCACUCGGUGGACGGCCGUCUGGACGUGGGGUGACACCUUCGUCGAAACACACAACCAAA